AAACGAUUAGGUUGUUGCUGAGUUGAUGAAACCAGGAUUGAACAAUGUUUUGCUGCCCACAUUGUUCACAGUUGUCAACAAUAAUUGAACAAUGUUUGGCUGCCCACUAGAGGUGUGCGUCGGAUUGGUAGCGUCGGAUCGGAUUGGACGUUUAUAAUCCGGUAGUUGGCUCACUUGGCUGGUGUUUGGAGUCUUUGGAAUCCGAUCCGAAACUGUCCGAUUCGGGUUGCACGUUGCUACCGUUAGCACUAUUUUCCAUCCAAAGAGGUGUCAAAUGGCUAUGUAACUACCCCUACUCUAACCCCGAUCCCUAACCGCAACCCUAAUCCUAACCGAAUUAAUAAAAAAAGAAAAAAAGAAACGACUUUAGAAAAUCGCUAGCGCGGUUUGCUGGAUGGAAAAUAGUGCUAUUAAACCCACUAAGAUGUGGGGUGAAUCUCAUGGUUGGGGCAUGCCAUGCCAUGGGGUGAAUGUACAUCAGAAGACUAGUAAAUUACAAGUGUAAAAGGGACUUAAUUUAACUAACUGAACAUUACUAAGUACUAUAAAUAAGUCAGCCUCCAACCUGAGCCAAAAGUGUAUUAAAUCGGAUUAACUAACAUGGCAAUGUCAAUGUAGAAUAUUAAGCAGAAUCAAAUAUAAUGGCUUAAUUAGGCAUCAAUAAAUCGUAUUUGUUUUGCAGCAUUUUGAAGGCGC